AAAUUUUAUUUGUUUGUUACAGAUGACUAUCAUUAACAACAAAAUCGGAUAAUGUGAUUUGUAAUCAAUUGGUGAGAACACUUCAAAUAAAAAGGAUGAUCAUGUUUCGUUACCUCGUUGUACUCGGGAUCCUCACUCACUCUGGGCCUAUCCCUUCAUGUCCAAAUGUUGACGGCCCAAACGCAGUAUAUUUUCCACAUGAAACCGACUGCUCAAAAUUCUAUAAGUGUUCAAAUGGUACCCAAUACUCACAUUACUGUCCACCUGGGCUUGAUUUCGAUCCUAUUCUAAGCCGUUGAGACCGACCAGUCACAGCUGGAUGCAGAAAACCCAGUUCCACAAAUAGUACUUAGUUCUUGGUCAAAUGAGGAACCCCAUCCAACUGAAGAGGCUUUGGCGACCAAGAAACCACGACUUACUGAGAAAACUUCCACAAACAGAAAGACUCCACCUACAGAAAAAUCGUCAACGACUCACAAAUGGCAAAGACCGUGGCGUACAAAAAAACCGUGGCUUACAGAGAAACAAUGGCCGACCAAAAAUUCAUGGCCCACGAAGAAAUCUUGGCCUACACAAAAACAAUGGCUCUCAAAAAAAUCUUGGCCGACCUAAAAUAUUUCAUGGCCAUUGUUUAUCAAGGAGCUGAUAUUCAAAGGUACCAGAAAACUCCUUGGAAUUCAAAUAUGCCAAAGAUCACUCUUUCAAUUAUUCUGCUGAUGAAAUCUGAAAUUUUUCAUAUUUUAAUAUUCUGUAUUCAAUAUCUAAUGAAGUUAGCUUACCUCUGAAGACUUAGAUGCCUUUUCGUCGAUAUAUAUCUUUAUUUGAAAUAGGAAUUCCUAAUAUACAUACAAAUCUUAAAAAUUAUGAUAAAUGUGAAAAAAUUGUCAAUAUCGCGAAAUAUAUGAAUACAUCAAUUAUAAUAGCUACUAGUAAUAAAAUACAAAUAGAUAAAAACAAUUU